rnacentral:rRNA from 1 species
GAUGAACGCUGGCGGCGUGCCUAAUACAUGCAAGUCGAGCGAACGGACGAGAAGCUUGCUUUUCUGAUGUUAGCGGCGGACGGGUGAGUAACACGUGGAUAACCUACCUAUAAGACUGGGAUAACUUCGGGAAACCGGAGCUAAUACCGGAUAAUAUUUUGAACCGCAUGGUUCAAAAGUGAAAGACGGUCUUGCUGUCACUUAUAGAUGGAUCCGCGCUGCAUUAGCUAGUUGGUAAGUUAACGGCUUACCAAGGCAACGAUGCAUAGCAGACCUGAGAGGGUGAUCGGCCACACUGGAACUGAGACACGGUCCAGACUCCUACGGGAGGCAGCAGUAGGGAAUCUUCCGCAAUGGGCGAAAGCCUGACGGAGCAACGCCGCGUGAGUGAUGAAGGUCUUCGGAUCGUAAAACUCUGUUAUUAGGGAAGAACAUAUGUGUAAGUAACUGUGCACAUCUUGACGGUACCUAAUCAGAAAGCCACGGCUAACUACGUG